rnacentral:rRNA from 1 species
GAUUUCUGACGUGACAAGACCGACCCACUGCGUUUACGUAUGUGCGUGUUGAGGAUUGUCUGUCAUCUUUCUAGAAAAUAUUUGUGCCCUUCACUGGGAUGCGAAUGUGAUCUAGAACUUUUACUUUGAAAAAAUUAGAGUGUUCAAAGCAGGCUUGCGCUAUGAAUACAUUAGCAUGGAAUAAUAAUUUAGGACUUCGGUUCUAUUUUGUUGGUUUCUAGGACUGAAGUAAUGAUUGAUAGGGAUAGUUGGGGGUGCUAGUAUUCAGCGGCCAGAGGUGAAAUUCUUGGAUUCGCUGAAGACUAACUUAUGCGAAAGCAUU